rnacentral:rRNA from 1 species
CCUACGGGUGGCAGCAGUGGGGAAUAUUGGGCAAUGGGCGCAAGCCUGACCCAGCAACGCCGCGUGAAGGAAGAAGGCUUUCGGGUUGUAAACUUCUUUUGUUCGGGACGAAGCAAGUGACGGUACCUGACGAAUAAGCCACGGCUAAAUACGUGCCAGCAGCCGCGGUAAUACGUAGGUGGCAAGCGUUAUCCGGAUUUAUUGGGUGUAAAGGGCGUGUAGGCGGGAAUGCAAGUCAGAUGGUAAAACUAUGGGCUCAACCCAUAGCCUGCAUGUGAAACUGGAUUUCUUGAGGGCUGGAGAGGCAAUCGGAAUGCCGUGUGUAGCGGUGAAAUGCGUAGAUAUACGGAGGAACACCAGUGGCGAAGGCGGAUUGCUGGACAGUAACUGACGCUGAGGCGCGAAAGCGUGGGGAGCAAACAGGAUUAGAUACCCUGGUAGUC